CUCUGCAGGGAGAACAUCUCCUGGAUGAAGGCUGCUUUCUGAGAAGGGAUUUUCUAUAUCUGGAGACCCUCAUUACUUCUCAAGGUCAGGGCUGUCUGAGAGUCACUUUUAAGCCUGGACCUGUGAGGAGUUCUACUGUUGGGUGGAUGCUGCUUUGGAUCAGUUCAGCCUGUGAGCAGUCCUAGUAGUCCCAUUGCUACUAGGAUUGCUUGUGGAUCCCAGAAUUGUGAAGGUGUUUUUGCUGCAGGUCUGGAACUUUUGUGGUGAGUAGUUCUUUCCCAGGGGUUCCCCUCCUGAAGGUUUUUUUUUUUCU